rnacentral:misc_RNA from 1 species
UGUGUGUGUGUGUGUGUGUGUGUCAAGGUCAGCUGAGCUCCAUUUCGCUCUGCUUCCAUCAUCCCCUUUUGUUUUCCUUUUUCUUUCCUUGUAAACCUAGCUACAUAAUUGAGCUACUUCCACUUUGAUUCAAAUUUGAGCUCAAAAAGGAGGAAGAUAAGAAAAGGUACAGCGACCUUCUCCUCCCCCUUUUUAACUAUGAGUCUUGAACUUUGGUUUGCAAUUUAGCGGUUAUUGGUUUAAACAAGGAAAAGGAAAAAUAAUGCCACUGGAGACCGAAAAUGGGGUUCACUACUCCUUUGCAUUGGAAUAUAAUGGCCCGCCGUUAUCUUAUGAUCUUCCACGCGCCGUUCCGAUUAACGUCAAACAAAUUCCGGUCGCUGCCGUCGUAUCUCAGCUAUCUCUCCCGGAUAAACUAUCUUUACCGGUUGUUAAACCACUGUUACCCACCGAUCCAGGUAAAAACCUCUCUAAAGAGUUAAAAUCUAUUGUCUCUCAAAAAGAGCCGGGAUCCGAAGAAGCAGCAACAACGGUGUCUCCCACUUUAGUCAUCGAUAGAGCCAUAGAGAGUAACCAAGAUUGCAGGUUGUCGGGCGAGCUGACUAGCUCAGGUGCGUUGGAGUUUUCCACUGGGCCGUGUGGGUCGCCUUGCAUUAGCAAGGAGCUCUCUAUUGAAUUGCUAAAUGGGGGCAGGAGCUCCAGUACCAUAGAGUUCUCUGAUAGUUUUGAUAAUAAAUCGCGGGAAAGUACAUCGAGAUUGAGGGUUUCGAAUGAAUUAAGUCAGGAUUGGGCUUCCAGUGAAUCGGUUUUAAGCAUUGAUUACCCAUCUUCGCGGGUUUCUAGUCUUAAACCUUCUGGGGAGUGUCAUACUCAUAACGAGGGAAAUGAGGAUGGUAGGCGAGCCCGUGUUGUUGCUUUUUGUGAUGUUGAAUCAGAUAGUGGUGUUGUUGGUGGUGAUUAUAGUGAAGAGUUGGGCGAGGAGGAGCCGAGGUUUGUGCGGGUUAAGAGAGAACCGCAGAGUAAAGGGAAGAAAGGGACUUGUUAUAGGUGUUUUAAGGGUAAUAGGUUUACUGAGAAGGAAGUUUGCAUUGUUUGCGAUGCCAAGUAUUGUAGUAGUUGUGUGCUUAGAGCUAUGGGGUCGAUGCCUGAAGGAAGGAAAUGUGUUACUUGUAUUGGGUAUCCCAUUGAUGAAUCGAAAAGAGGGAGUUUGGGAAAGUGUUCGAGAAUGCUUAAGCGAUUGCUGAAUGAUUUGGAGAUUAGACAGAUAAUGAAGGCUGAGAAGUUGUGCGAGGCAAAUCAGUUGCCUCCGGAGUUUGUUUGCGUAAAUGGAAUGCCCCUUUCCCAUGAGGAGUUGGUUGUUUUGCAGAGUUGUCCAAACCCUCCAAAGAAGUUGAAACCUGGAAGCUAUUGGUAUGAUAAAGUGUCUGGUCUCUGGGGAAAGGUGAAUAUAGUGUAUACAUUUGGGAGAAUUGCAAUUUGGUCAUGCUUUUUUCUUUUCUCAUUAUGGAGCUUGAUGGUUGUGUUAAUUUAAAUUUAACAGGAAGGACAGAAGCCUUCCCAGAUCAUAAGUCCCCAUUUGAAUGUUGGGGGUCCUAUUAACGUGAAUGCUAGCAAUGGAAACACACAAAUUUACAUAAACGGCCGGGAGAUCACAAAAGUAGAGCUUAGGAUGUUGCAGCUGGCUGGAGUUCAAUGUGCUGGCAACCCACAUUUUUGGGUGAAUGAGGAUGGAUCAUACCAAGAAGAGGGGCAGAAGAAUACUAAAGGUUACAUUUGGGGCAAGGCGGGAAUGAAGCUUGUCUGUGCUUUCUUAUCACUCCCUGUUCCCGCUAAAUCUUCAAAUUCUUGUGGAGAACAAGUUAACAGUAUGAUGAGCAGAAGUGUCCCAGACUACAUUGAGCAGAGAACGCUUCAGAAGAUUCUUUUAGUUGGAUACGGCGGAUCUGGGACAAGUACUAUUUUUAAGCAGGCCAAGAUUCUUUACAAACCUGUCCCUUUCACAGAGGAUGAGCGUGAAAACAUUAAAAUGACAAUUCAGAGCAAUGUGUAUGGUUAUCUUGGUAUACUUCUCGAGGGGCGUGACCGUUUUGAAGAAGAAUGUUUGGCCGAAAUGAAGAAAGGGCAAUCUUCUGAUGAAGCUGACUCCAUUGGGAGUAGCAAUAGCAUCAAUUGCAAAACUAUCUAUUCUAUCGGUCCAAGGCUUAAAGCAUUCUCAGAUUGGCUUCUGAAGAUUAUGGUGGCAGGAAAUUUGGAAGUGAUUUUUCCAGCAGCCACUCGGGAAUAUGCACCAUUGGUAGAAGAGUUGUGGAAGGACCCUGCCAUUCAGGCCACUUACAACCGGAGAAAUGAAUUGGAAAUGUUGCCUAGUGUUGCUAGUUAUUUCUUAGAAAGGGCUGUUGACGUAUUGAGAACAGACUAUGAACCCUCAGAUUUGGAUAUCCUGUAUGCUGAGGGCGUUACUUCAUCAAAUGGGCUUGCUUGUUUGGACUUCUCAUUUCCCCCAUCAGCAUUUGAUGAUAAAUUUGACACUGAUGAUCCCCACGGCUCUCUUCUCAGAUACCAACUGAUUAGUGUGCAUGCACGAGGGCUGGGAGAGAACUGCAAGUGGCUUGAGAUGUUUGAAGAUGUUGGGAUGGUCAUUUUCUGUGUUGCAUUGAGUGACUAUGACCAAUAUGCAGUUGAUGGCAAUGGGUGUUCUACAAACAAGAUGUUGAUGAGCAGGAGAUUCUUUGAGAGUAUUGUUACUCAUCCCACCUUUGAUCAGAUGGAUUUUCUUUUGUUACUGAACAAAUUUGAUCUGUUGGAGGAAAAGAUUGAACGUGUUCCAUUGACUGAGUGUGAAUGGUUUGAUGAUUUCUAUCCUGUGAUCAGCCGUCAUAAAUCUAGCGGCAACAGGAAUAGCAUCAAUUGUAACCCUUCACUUGGUCAGCUGGUUUUCCACCAUGUUGCUGUCAAGUUCAAGAAGCUUUAUGCUUCACUAACAGGAAAGAAGUUGUAUGUUUCUUUGGUUAAGGGGCUGGAACCUGAUAGUGUUGAUGGAGCUCUUAAAUAUGCAAGGGAGAUUUUGAAGUGGGAAGAAGAAAGACCCAACUUCAGCCUGAGUGAGUAUUCAUUUUAUAGCAACGAGGCAAGCCCCUAUUCCCCGUAAUCGGUAAAUCAAAAAGGGCUUGUAAAUGGAUCUUCUACAACAUUUGUCGUUGCCAGUGUACAUAUAUAAUGGUAUGUAAAUGAACAAGUGGAGAUGCUUCUCUUCUAUAAGCCAUUGCAGCUAUAAGAUCUCUUAAACCAUCUAGGUAUAAUCCAAGUCACGUGCUGCUACAUAGUUUCGUAGAUUACCAGCAUACAGUUAGGAUGAAACAUUAGCUUUCAAUGUUAUACGAUGAAGGAAUCACUUGAUAUUGUGUUUUUAGUGUCCGUUUUUUUUUUUUUGGUAACAUGCG